AUCCCGACUUACCAACCCGAUGCAAACUGCGAAUACCGGAGAAUGUUAUCACGGGAGACACACGGCGGGUGCUAACGUCCGUCGUGAAGAGGGAAACAACCCAGACCGCCAGCUAAGGUCCCAAAGUCAUGGUUAAGUGGGAAACGAUGUGGGAAGGCCCAGACAGCCAGGAUGUUGGCUUAGAAGCAGCCAUCAUUUAAAGAAAGCGUAAUAGCUCACUGGUCGAGUCGGCCUGCGCGGAAGAUGUAACGGGGCUAAACCAUGCACCGAAGCUGCGGCAGCGACGCUUAUGCGUUGUUGGGUAGGGGAGCGUUCUGUAAGCCUGUGAAGGUGUACUGUGAGGUAUGCUGGAGGUAUCAGAAGUGCGAAUGCUGACAUAAGUAACGAUAAAGCGGGUGAAAAGCCCGCUCGCCGGAAGACCAAGGGUUCCUGUCCAACGUUAAUCGGGGCAGGGUGAGUCGACCCCUAAGGCGAGGCCGAAAGGCGUAGUCGAUGGGAAACAGGUUAAUAUUCCUGUACUUGGUGUUACUGCGAAGGGGGGACGGAGAAGGCUAUGUUGGCCGGGCGACGGUUGUCCCGGUUUAAGCGUGUAGGCUGGUUUUCCAGGCAAAUCCGGAAAAUCAAGGCUGAGGCGUGAUGACGAGGCACUACGGUGCUGAAGCAACAAAUGCCCUGCUUCCAGGAAAAGCCUCUAAGCAUCAGGUAACAUCAAAUCGUACCCCAAACCGACACAGGUGGUCAGGUAGAGAAUACCAAGGCGCUUGAGAGAACUCGGGUGAAGGAACUAGGCAAAAUGGUGCCGUAACUUCGGGAGAAGGCACGCUGAUAUGUAGGUGAAGCGACUUGCUCGUGGAGCUGAAAUCAGUCGAAGAUACCAGCUGGCUGCAACUGUUUAUUAAAAACACAGCACUGUGCAAACACGAAAGUGGACGUAUACGGUGUGACGCCUGCCCGGUGCCGGAAGGUUAAUUGAUGGGGUCAGCGCAAGCGAAGCUCUUGAUCGAAGCCCCGGUAAACGGCGGCCGUAACUAUAACGGUCCUAAGGUAGCGAAAUUCCUUGUCGGGUAAGUUCCGACCUGCACGAAUGGCGUAAUGAUGGCCAGGCUGUCUCCACCCGAGACUCAGUGAAAUUGAACUCGCUGUGAAGAUGCAGUGUACCCGCGGCAAGACGGAAAGACCCCGUGAACCUUUACUAUAGCUUGACACUGAACAUUGAGCCUUGAUGUGUAGGAUAGGUGGGAGGCUUGGAAGUGUGGACGCCAGUCUGCAUGGAGCCGACCUUGAAAUACCACCCUUUAAUGUUUGAUGUUCUAACG
rnacentral:rRNA from 1 species